AGAACUCUCUGCCCUGAGCCUGUAACCGUCAGACAAUCCCACGUUUCCUCACCAAAGCCCCAAAGGCCCAUAUCUCUCCUCACUCUCCGAUAUCAGUGGGACCCUCUUCUCUUAUCACAGUGCAGUGAAAGACCUCUGGACUUCGUCACGGGUGCCACUGGGACCCCCAGACCGUUGUUCGCUGAGCCAGGAAGAACAGAGAGCAAAGGUGACAAUUGCCUCCCCCCCCAAAAAAACCCGACAAGCUCAAACCUCAUUCACACACUCGUCCUCUGGGCAAAGCGACAGCCAUUUAAAAUAAUCUAACGUGGAUCUUCCUGGAAUGACACGAAUAGGAGUUGAGGAUUGGUUACUCCCUGCUCCCUGCGGCCACCCCUGCUGGAAGCCCGCCAGGAACCAAAUCAGUUGAACAGUCUCUUUAAAAGAAAUGGAGAUUAGCAGGUGUUAAAGGCAGAUUAGCAACCAAAUGAGUUUCUCCCUGGCACAAUCAGUAUUCAAAGAGGACGGGCUUCGGGGAGAACAUGGACCGCUGCUGGCAGCCUGUUCUGGCAAGACGACGUGGUGCCUGGAUUCGCCAGGACUUAGAGAGCUCAAGACACCCGCGUGCCUGGUGUUGGCAGCAGGCAGCGCCGUCCCGGAGCCCCACCUUAUCUGUGGAAUAGCUCCUGUCCCCAGCUCCACCUGGGUCGUUCCCACUGGUUCUGUGAUGACCCCACACUGCAAAGCCCUGGCCUCAGCUGACCAGCCAGGCUGAGCUCCUGAAGCAUUUCCGGCCCAUGAGCACCUUUCUUUAGGAAUUUUGGAAUCAAGAGAAGGAAAACCACAGCCAUCUCUCCAGAAUCGGUCAGAGCUCUCAGUACCGUGAACGAGGGAUAGAGGUAGACGCGACCUGCAACAUUUCCCAAACUCCAAGAACCAGGCAACUCCUGAACCUGGGAGUUCCGCCGCCCUCGUGUUCUUCCAAAUCCACCACAGGAGAUUCCGAUCUGAGUCCUUCUGUGGGAUCAAGCAUCGAUGAGGUCGUGAAGCAGAUAAGAACCACAUGAAGAUCCCACUUCCCACCCCGAGGAUGACCAGGACCACAGAUUGAUACGACGACAACGAGAGUUGGCAAGGACGCAGAGGAACGGGACCCUCCCACCUGGCUGGUGAGACGGUGAAAACAUGCAGCUGCUCUGGGAGAAGUCUAGAAGCUUCUUAUGAAGAUCCAACGUGCAGCAUGACCCAGAGAUUCCGACUCCUAGAAGGAAAAUACCUCUCUGCAUGUAAACGUUCCCAGCAGCUUUAUUCAAAAUAGACCCAAAUAAGAAACGACCCAAAUGCCCGUCCGGGGGUGAGUGGGUGAGUGCGAUCUGUCUUUUCAAGGUUGUUAUCAACCAGCAACAAAGAGGCAGGUGGAGCCGAUCCACAUGAACCUCAAGCGCAUCCCGAUAAGGGGACAAAGCCAGGCAGGAAAGACCCCUUGUUGUAUGGUCCCAUUUGUAGGAGAAGCCCCAAAUGGUAAACACAGAAAGGGAGUAGGUUGGUGGCCGCCGGGGGAUGGGACAGGGACUAUGUAUAAAUGGGCAGGAGAGAUCUCACUGAAGGGACGCAACUAUUCUAAGACUAGAUUGUGGUCAUGGCUGCCGAACGGUAAAUUUUCACAAAAUAAAUAAAAAUCAUGACAUUUCAAA